CGCACCUUGCGCUCCUUGGUAUUCCGAGGAGCAUGCCUGUUUGAGUGUCAUUAAAUUCUCAACCUUAUCAGCUUUUGUUGAUAAUGGCUUGGAUGUGGGGGUGUCUUUGUAGGCUUUGUUAAAAAGGUCUACUCCCCUGAAAUGCAUUAGCUGGUACCCCGUGUGGACCGUCUAUUGGUGUGAUAAUUAUCUACGCCGUGGACGUCUGCUUUAAAUGGGUUGUGCUGCUUCUAACUAUCCGUUAAAGUUGGACAAUAUAUGACAAUUUGACCUCAAAUCAGGUAGGACUACCCGCUGAACUUAA
rnacentral:misc_RNA from 1 species